rnacentral:rRNA from 1 species
GACAGAGGUGCCGAGCGUUAGGCGGAAUCACUGGGCUUAAAGCGUGUGUAGGCGGACUUCUAAGUACCUUGUGAAAUCCCACGGCUCAACCGUGGAACUGCUUGGUAUACUGGCGGUCUUGAGCCAGCUAGGGGCUACCGGAACAAAUGGUGGAGCGGUGAAAUGCGUAGAUAUCAUUUGGAACGCCAAUGGUGAAAACAGGUAGCUGGGGCUGUGCUGACACUGAGACACGAAAGCCAGGGGAGCAAACGGG